UACGUAGGGCGCAAGCGUUGUCCGGAAUUAUUGGGCGUAAAGAGCUCGUAGGCGGCUUGUCACGUCGGGUGUGAAAGACCGGGGCUUAACCCCGGUUCUGCAUUCGAUACGGGCUGGCUAGAGUGUGGUAGGGGGAGAUCGGAAUUCCUGGUGUAGCGGUGAAAAUGCGCAGAUAUCAGGAGGAACACCGGUGGCGAAGGCGGAUCUCUGGGCCAUUACUGACGCUGAGGAGCGAAAGCGUGGGGAGCGAACAGG
rnacentral:rRNA from 1 species